UCAGUUACGUAACAAAGGGGAUUCUAUAUACAACAAACACCUGGAAUCGUUGUCAUCCAUUACUUCCCAAAAAACACAGAAGCAGGGAUGCCUAGGACUGACUACAGUGCAAAUACAGUGCAGUUACAUUCAUACAUGAUACCCUUGCACAUGCUGUUUGGUUUCAUAUUCUGCUUUAUAUAU